AAGAAAAGACAGAUCGCAUGAUCAGCUUUUAAAAGGUACGGCGUAAAGCUGUCGCUAUGGGGAUGGGCCCCGCGGUGCAUUAGCUAGUUGGCAAGGUAAAGGGCUUACCAAGGCGAUGAUGCAUAGCCCGAGUUGAGAGACUGAUCGGCCACAUUGGGGACUGAGACACGGGCCCAAACUCCUACGGGAGGCAGCAGUAGGGAAUCUUCCACAAUGGACGCAAGUCUGAUGGAGCAAACGCCGCGUGAGUGAAGAAGGUUUUCGGAUCGUAAAAAGCUCUGUUGUUGGUGAAGAAGGAUAGAGGUAGUAACUGGCCCUUUACUUUGACGGUAAUCAACCCAGAAAGUCACGGGCUAACUACGUGCCCAGCAGCCGCGGUAAAU
rnacentral:rRNA from 1 species